AUUGAACGCUGGCGGCAUGCCUUACACAUGCAAGUCGAACGUGAAAGGGGGGCAACCCCCGAGUAGAGUGGCGGACGGGUGAGUAACACAUCGGAACGUACCCAGUAGUGGGGACAACCUCGAGAAAUCGAGGCUAAUACCGCAUACGACCCACGGGUGAAAGCGGGGGACCGCAAGGCCUCGCGCUAUUGGAGCGGCCGAUGUCCGAUUAGCUUGUUGGCGGGGUAAGAGCCCCACCAAGGCGACGAUCGGUAGCUGGUCUGAGAGGAUGAUCAGCCACACUGGGACUGAGACACGGCCCAGACUCCUACGGGAGGCAGCAGUGGGGAAUUUUGGACAAUGGGGGCAACCCUGAUCCAGCCAUGCCGCGUGCGGGAAGAA
rnacentral:rRNA from 1 species